rnacentral:rRNA from 1 species
UACAGGCUUAACACAUGCAAGUCGAGGGGCAGCAUGAACUUAGCUUGCUAAGGCCGAUGGCGACCGGCGCACGGGUGAGUAACACGUAUCCAACCUGCCGAUAACUCCGGAAUAGCCUUUCGAAAGAAAGAUUAAUACCGGAUGGCAUACGAAUAUCGGUCAUCGAUGGGGAUGCGUUCCAUUAGGUUGUUGGCGGGGUAACGGCCCACCAAGCCUUCGAUGGAUAGGGGUUCUGAGAGGAAGGUCCCCACAUUGGAACUGAGACACGGUCCAAACUCC